rnacentral:rRNA from 1 species
ACGCUGGCGGCAGGCCUAACACAUGCAAGUCGAGCGGAAACGACACUAACAAUCCUUCGGGUGCGUUAAUGGGCGUCGAGCGGCGGACGGGUGAGUAAUGCCUAGGAAAUUGCCUUGAUGUGGGGGAUAACCAUUGGAAACGAUGGCUAAUACCGCAUAAUGCCUACGGGCCAAAGAGGGGGACCUUCGGGCCUCUCGCGUCAAGAUAUGCCUAGGUGGGAUUAGCUAGUUGGUGAGGUAAUGGCUCACCAAGGCGACGAUCCCUAGCUGGUCUGAGAGGAUGAUCAGCCACACUGGAACUGAGACACGGUCCAGACUCCUACGGGAGGCAGCAGUGGGGAAUAUUGCACAAUGGGCGCAAGCCUGAUGCAGCCAUGCCGCGUGUAUGAAGAAGGCCUUCGGGUUGUAAAGUACUUUCAGUUGUGAGGAAGGGGGUAGUGUUAAUAGCRCUAUCUCUUGACGUUAGCAACAGAAGAAGCACCGGCUAACUCCGUGCCAGCAGCCGCGGUAAUACGGAGGGUGCGAGCGUUAAUCGGAAUUACUGGGCGUAAAGCGCAUGCAGGUGGUUCAUUAAGUCAGAUGUGAAAGCCCGGGGCUCAACCUCGGAACUGCAUUUGAAACUGGUGAACUAGAGUACUGUAGAGGGGGGUAGAAUUUCAGGUGUAGCGGUGAAAUGCGUAGAGAUCUGAAGGAAUACCAGUGGCGAAGGCGGCCCCCUGGACA